UACGUAGGGGGCAAGCGUUGUCCGGAUUUAUUGGGCGUAAAGAGCGUGUAGGCGGCCAGGUAGGUCUGCUGUGAAAACUCGAGGCUUAACCUCGAGAUGUCAUCGGAAACCAUUUGGCUAGAGUCCGGAAGAGGAAAGUGGAAUUCCUGGUGUAGCGGUGAAAUGCGCAGAUAUCAGGAAGAACACCCGUGGCGAAGGCGGCUCUCUGGGACGGUACUGACGCUGAGACGCGAAAGCGUGGGGAGCGAACAGG
rnacentral:rRNA from 1 species